rnacentral:rRNA from 1 species
GAUGAACGCUGGCGGCGUGCCUAAUACAUGCAAGUCGAGCGAACAGACGAGGAGCUUGCUCCUCUGACGUUAGCGGCGGACGGGUGAGUAACACGUGGAUAACCUACCUAUAAGACUGGGAUAACUUCGGGAAACCGGAGCUAAUACCGGAUAAUAUAUUGAACCGCAUGGUUCAAUAGUGAAAGACGGUUUUGCUGUCACUUCUAGAUGGAUCCGCGCCGCAUUAGCUAGUUGGUACGGUAACGGCUUACCAAGGCAACGAUGCGUAGCCGACCUGAGAGGGUGAUCGGCCACACUGGAACUGAGACACGGUCCAGACUCCUACGGGAGGCAGCAGUAGGGAAUCUUCCGCAAAGGGCGAAAGCCUGACGGAGCAACGCCGCGUGAGUGAUGAAGGUCUUCGGAUCGUAAAACUCUGUUAUUAGGGAAGAACAAAUGUGUAAGUAACUAUGCACGUCCUGACGGUACCUAAUCAGAAAGCCACGGCUAACUACGUG